AUCAUCGAGUCUUUGAUAUGAUCGGGCCUUUUUUUGUUGCGCUUCAUUGAAUCUUUUAUCAAUCUUGUCGAAUCUUGUCAUCAUUUUACUCAAGAUCUCUUGAAUCGAAGGAUUUGAUUCUUCGGACGAGUUUGAUUUGUUUGCGGUAGAUCGCGUAUUCACCAUCUGAGAAUCGUUGGCUCCGAUAACAAUUGAUAAGAUUAGGGUUUAGAGUGAAAGGAAGAGAA
rnacentral:lncRNA from 1 species